rnacentral:rRNA from 1 species
GAUGAACGCUGGCGGCGUGCCUAAUACAUGCAAGUCGAGCGAACGGACGAGAAGCUUGCUUCUCUGAUGUUAGCGGCGGACGGGUGAGUAACACGUGGAUAACCUACCUAUAAGACUGGGAUAACUUCGGGAAACCGUAGCUAAUACCGGAUAAUAUUUUGAACCGCAUGGUUCAAAAGUGAAAGACGGUCUUGCUGUCACUUAUAGAUGGAUCCGCGCUGCAUUAGCUAGUUGGUAAGGUAACGGCUUACCAAGGCAACGAUGCAUAGCCGACCUGAGAGGGUGAUCGGCCACACUGGAACUGAGACACGGUCCAGACUCCUACGGGAGGCAGCAGUAGGGAAUCUUCCGCAAUGGGCGAAAGCCUGACGGAGCAACGCCGCGUGAGUGAUGAAUGUCUUCGGAUCGUAAAACUCUGUUAUUAGGGAAGAACAUAUGUGUAAGUAACUGUGCACAUCUUGACGGUACCUAAUCAGAAAGCCACGGCUAACUACGUG